AGGACGAACGCUGGCGGCGUGCUUAAACACAUGCAAGUCGAGCGGAAAGGCCCUUCGGGGUACUCGAGCGGCGAACGGGUGAGUAACACGUGAGCAACCUGCCCUUAGCUCUGGGAUAGCUCCGGGAAACCGGAAUUAAUACCGGAUACGACCUAGGCCGACAUCGGCCAUGGUGGAAAGUUUUUUCGGCUAGGGAUGGACUCGCGGCCUAUCAGCUAGUUGGUGGGGUAAAGGCCUACCAAGGCGACGACGGGUAG
rnacentral:rRNA from 1 species